rnacentral:rRNA from 1 species
UACGGAGGAUGCAGGCGUUAUCCGGAUUUAUUGGGUUUAAAGGGUGCGUAGGCGGAUUAAUAAGUCAGUGGUGAAAUCCCUCAGCUUAACUGAGGAACUGCCAUUGAUACUGUUAGUCUUGAGUAUAGUUGAGGUGGGCGGAAUGUGUCAUGUAGCGGUGAAAUGCAUAGAUAUGACACAGAACACCGAUUGCGUAGGCAGCUCACUAAACUAUCACUGACGCUGAUGCACGAAAGCGUGGGUAGCGAACAGG